UCUGNUAGGUGACCUGCGGAAGGAUCAUUACUGAUUUGCUUAAUUGCACCACAUGUGUUUUUCUUUGAAACAAACUUGCUUUGGCGGUGGGCCCAGCCUGCCGCCAGAGGUCUAAACUUACAACCAAUUUUUUAUCAACUUGUCACACCAGAUUAUUACUAAUAGUCAAAACUUUCAACAACGGAUCUCUUGGUUCUCGCAUCGAUGAAGAACGCAGCGAAAUGCGAUACGUAAUAUGAAUUGCAGAUAUUCGUGAAUCAUCGAAUCUUUGAACGCACAUUGCGCCCUCUGGUAUUCCGGAGGGCAUGCCUGUUUGAGCGUCGUUUCUCCCUCAAACCGCUGGGUUUGGUGUUGAGCAAUACGACUUGGGUUUGCUUGAAAGACGGUAGUGGUAAGGCGGGAUCGCUUUGACAAUGGCUUAGGUCUAACCAAAAACAUUGCUUGCGGCGGUAACGUCUACCACGUAUAUCUUCAAACUUUGACCUCAAAUCAGGUAGGACUACCCGCUGAACUUAAGCAUAUCAAUAAGGGGGGA
rnacentral:misc_RNA from 1 species